rnacentral:tRNA from 1 species
GGGGUUGUGGCUCAGUGGUAGAGCGCUUGCCUCAUCUGUGUGAGGCACUGAGUUCGAUCCUCAGCACCACA